rnacentral:rRNA from 1 species
GAUUAACGCUGGCGGCGUGCAUAACACAUGCAAGUCGAACGAUGAAACUUAAAUGAUUUCUUCGGAAUGAACUUAAGUGGAUUAGUGGCGGACGGGUGAGUAACGCGUGAGUAACCUGCCUUACACAAGGGGAUAGCCGUUGGAAACGACGAAUAAUACCCUAUGAUGUUUCUAUCUCGCAUGAGAUAUUAACCAAAGUGUUAGCGGUGUAAGAUGGACUUGCGUCUGAUUAGCUAGUUGGUGAGAAAAAAGCCCACCAAGGCAACGAUCAGUAGCCGGCUUGAGAGAGUGUACGGCCACAUUGGGACUGAGACACGGCCCAGACUCCUACGGGAGGCAGCAGUGGGGAAUUUUGCACAAUGGGGGAAACCCUGAUGCAGCGACGCCGCGUGAUUGAGAAGGCCUUCGGGUUGUAAAAAUCUUUUGUAUAGGAAGAAAAUGACAGUACUAUACGAAUAAGGUCCGGCUAAUUACGUG